rnacentral:rRNA from 1 species
UACAGAGGGGGCAAGCGUUAUUCGGAAUUAUUGGGCGUAAAGGGCGCGUAGGCGGCUUGGCAAGUGGAUGGUGAAAUCCCUCGGCUUAACCGAGGAACUGCCGUCCAAACUGCUUCGCUUGAGACCGGGAGAGGUGAGUGGAAUUCCCAGUGUAGCGGUGAAAUGCGUAGAUAUUGGGAGGAACACCAGUGGCGAAGGCGGGUUGCUGGGCUGAUACUGACGCUGAGGCGCGAAAGCCAGGGGAGCGAACGGG